UUUUUUUUUUUUUUUUUUUUAGGGCCACAUCCUCAGCAUACGGAGGGUUCCCAGGCUAGGGGUCUAAUCAGAGCUAUUGCUGCUGGCCUACACCACAGCCACAGCAAUGCCAGAUCUGAGCUAUGUUGGCAGCCUACACCACAGCUCACAGCAACUCUGGAUCCUUAACCCACUGAGCAAGACCAGGGAUCAAACCCACAACCUCAUGAUUCCUAGUCAGAUUCAUUUCCGCUGCUCCAUGACAGAAACUCCUAUAAUAUAAUUUUUAAGUUCUAUUUUACACAUGAAACAUUACCUAAACGAUGUGCAUUUUGCUAUAUGUCAAUUAUCCUUUAAGUGAAAAAAGUGUAUUAAAAAGCAUACAAUUUAGAGACAACAUGCAAAAAUUUGCAUCUCAUUUCAUGCUUUUUUUUUUUUGUGGCUGAGUGUUUAGAAAUAACUGUAUGAUGAGGUACAAGUGAUUUCUGGUCCCAUGGUAUUACUGCUGUAGAAUACUGAACAUAUCACGACACAUUUAUUACGCCUUAAAAAGUACUUUACAAAAUGCACUUUGUACAAAAUGAGAGGCUUGAGCAUGGGAAUAAACUUGACCAAAUUUUUUGUUGUUGUUAUUCUUUAAAAAAUUCAAUGCUUGCCAAAAUGUACAUCUGUUUAUUCUACAGUGAUCACUAAUCUGUUUCUUAGAGUUUUCAGCAUCCCUUUGGGUUUAUGCACAUGUGGCAAAACUGUCUUUUUUUCAUGUGAGUGAGUGAAAAUUUAAUCUCAAUAAUCCAAAAACAACUCUAGAAGUUGUCUAUUUAUUUAUGUUCAAAAGCCACAGCAAUUUUAGCUCCAAUUCAAAAAUCCAAGGAAGGAAAAGAACACACUGUGCCUUAGGAAGUAUCUGGGAUACUUUAGAAGUUUAGUGACCUAUGGGGAACAUUUCCAGUGAAGUAGGUCCUAAUAAUUGCUGGGAGACAUAGUGUAAUGCCAGAAACUGAAAAAUUGGCAACGUGAUGAUCCUUAAACAACCACAUCCUCCUAUUACAGUUGUCAAUGCUAUAAAAAAGUGUUUGACAAUAGUGAAAUGAAAAAUAAAUUAUUUGAAUAGGUAUAGCCCUUCUUCUUAAUCUGUCUACAUAGCCAGUUGUUUUAUGUGAAAUUAACAAAUAAUAUAAUUUGAAUAUGACUACAUAAGAGAAAUAUAAAUAAUUGCAGCAAAAUAAUUUUCACCGUUAAUAUCAGCUGAAUAAGACUAAUGAAGUUUAACUAUGAGGUACAAUUACAUCUAUUCUUUAGGAUGAACACUAUCUCCAGACAUAUUUACUUCAAUAAAAUGUGUUAAAUAAGCCUAGGUUCUAAGAAGAAAACAAUCCAGAGAGUGAAUAAACAAAUACUCAAGAACAUAAAGUUGAUGAAACAGAAUAUCAUGUAUUUAAUUGAAGGAAAUAACUGAUAUUUCAGGAGAUUUAUAGGUUAAAGACAUUUGUAAAAAAGUAAAACCAUGAUGUAUUAUACAUGUACACAUAUAUCAAGUUUUGAAAAAUAUUAUUUUAGUAAUAUGAGAGCCACUGAGGACCAACAUAUAUAUUUCUGUUUAACGCAAUAUACACACAUAUUUAACAUACAAGGAAUGUGACAGUAGUAUAACCUUUUCAUCAUAUGGAAAUGGGAAGUUAUCCUUUGCCAUAAAUAAACAACAAAAACAGAAUAAUGAUAAUAAUUUCUAGCUAGAUGUUGUUGCCCACCAAAUAUUUUCAGUAUGAGGCCUGCUCUCUCUGAGUUAAAACAUUAGGUGUUAAAGCCUAGCUCCAAACUGAGACUUUUUUUCCUGAUGAAAUUAAAAGAUUGAAGGAAAAUAUAAAAAGUAAUUUUCUCAUUGUGAUUCUUAGUAUAAUUAUUUUCUGAUUAGAGUACCACCUGACUGAUAGUCUUGCUUACCAACUAGAGUCAUCUCAAAUACCAAUAACAUCCCACACUGUGGGAGGCAUUGCUGUUCCUCAGUAGCUAUUGCUUUUCAGUAUCUAUUUCUCCUGUUUUAGAUGGGAGAAUAAGAAGGCAUGAGGUGCCUCAGUAAAAGUGUUUUUUUAUUUUCUUCAGUGGGAAAUGUGGGGUAGCUAAUCCAGCAGAUAUGAAAAAAGUUUAUUGAACACCCUGCACCAUUGAUUGGCAACUCUGUGUACGAGGUGUCACCAGUAAUAGAACAUUUCUUUUCUUUACUGCCCAAUAAUGCCCCGGAACUGGAAGGCAAACAUGAGUUUGGGAUUGGAAGCUAAUAAAUGGGACACAUUUUGUAAGUAGCAGGGUUAAUGAAUUACAGAUGUGGUUGUUUACAUGAGUGAGUACUGUUUGCUUUUCCUGCCAUCAGUGUUAUCCUUUCCAGUAAGAGUGAGUUCACUGGCAAUGGAAAUGGGGGAGGGAAACUAACAAAGCUCUAAAACAAUGUUGAUUUUUUUAAAAAAAAUAUGUACUUCUAAAAGAAUGUUAUUGUGGCCUCUUUCUUCUGCUGUAGAAAGGUUAAUUUCUAGUUAACUCUUAAUGCUUAGAAGCCUUAAUGCCUGAUAGGAAAUGUUUCUGAAACAAGAGUUUCUAGCUCAGGGACGAAGCUGGUGUGGGUUUAUGUGUGAAAGUGGUGCCGUGUGUGUUAUUCACUUUUUAUACACCUGAGAGAAAUUUUAGAAGUUAUUUGGAUAGGUACAGGCCUUAAAUAGCAGAACAGGAUUCUGCCUUCUUCUGCUUCACACUGUUAGAAUUGGCAUGAGCCAGGAAGUGGUCAACUACUGAAUUACAGCACCUGUCAGAAUUGACUCUAAAAAACAGUGGUGAAAGGGGAUCCCUAGGAUGGGAAGGACUUUGGGUGGUCCAUCUAGUCAAACAUCUAUUCUGGAAGGAAAGAUGGUCUGAAUGUGGAUGUAUUUGAUUCACAAACUGUAGCAGAUAGAGUAAUGGGACAGUCAUGGAUUAGAAAUGAACACAAUUGGAAGAUUGAUGACAAGAAGCCUAGAGAAAAGGUAUGUAGAUGGACCUCUUAUAAUGGGCACUAAGUGCAACAUAUAUGUGAUCCACAUAAAUGCUUAUUAGAGGGCUUUGUGAAGGAGGCUCUUAAUAAUUAGGUAGUAAACUUGAGCCGUCAUGAAUGUCGGUCACCUUCUUAACCCAGGCACUUUGGUACCGGUUUCAUGGGUCCAUUACAAAGUGGCUGUGGCAUCAAAAAUGGAAGUUAUACAUGGACUCAAUGACUUGGACCUGCUCUCACCAAGGUUGAGCUGAUCUAGCUUCUCGACACUUAGUUGAGUGUCCAACUUUAUCACGGCAAAGGACAAUAGUGGGUUUCUAUACCACUUAUGAAGGGAAUAGCUGGCUGCUGCCUGCUCUUGGAGGAGGUAGCACUUGUCUUUACCAUCUGAAUAAGGGACAGGCUUGUUUAGGAACAUAUUUGCCUUCCCUGCCUUUGGAGCUUCUGGCAGCAUGUUGGUUCAUGGAUUACAGAUUGCUGUAUCUGUGGUACUCCAUAAAAUACCACCUCUGCCCAGGUGGCUCCUUUUAUUGUGACUGAAGUAUGGCAUUGGAGUCAAGCCCAUGGAAUUCACUCUGGUCUUACUUUGUGACCCAUCCUCCCCAAACAACUAUCUUGACAAAAUAGUGCAGUGAUAUGAGGAAGACUCAGUUACAGUGCCAGGUAGGAAAAAAUACCCUGGGAGGUUUAAUACUAUUCUCUAGAAUGCAGAUAAUAUUCCUUAAGUCAGCAGCUAAUAUUUGGUUCCAUCUUCAUAGUUAGAAUAUGUCUAGGAACCAGGGAUGGAGGUGAGAUUGGACUUUAUCACUAUUUUGACUAAUGACCUACUGGUUGAAUUUUUCCUCUUCUCCCCAUGACCCUGUGGUCUCUGAAUUUUAAAGUUCUAAAGAGGACUGCUUCUACCAGAGGACACAAUCAUAGUUUUGAUAAACGAGAUGCUCCCUUGGCUAUUUGGGGUUCUAAAGUCUUCUAAACCAUUCUUCUGUCCUUGCAUUUCUAGUUGAGUUCAGGCAAUGAAGAGGUGUAGUGGGAGAGUGGAGGGAAGAAGAAAUGUGAGGUCAGGGUAUUUAUUUUCCCAGGCUCCUCUUUAUAGUAAGCAGAUUAAGUACCACUUGCUCUUUGCUCCUCAUCUUAUAUUUGAGAAACUUGAACUGAGAGUGAUAUAAUUUACCCAGAGAAACAAUUUCAAAAGAUUUUGUUAGAUUAAAGCCACAGGUAUACUCUGAAUAGGCCAGAGGUUGCAGACUCAAAUGACAUCCUCUGCCCUCAGAUAUCAAGCAGAAGGGGAAAGGUGGCUUGGUUAGUAGAAACAUGAGUAACACAUUAAUUGUUGGGGACUGCAGAGGGCAUUGUCCUCUAUCCAGAUGUGGUGCUUUCUGCUUAGCGUUAGUUGGUUGCCACGAAGUUGGGAAUGCAGGGGUCAGUUGCUGCCAUGUUGAGUUUUGAAAAGAUGAAAAUCUGGAUUUUUAAAAUUGAAGUAUAAUUGACUUACAAUAUUAAACUUGUUUCAGAAAUACAACAAAAUAUUUCAAUACUUUUAUACAUUAUGCAGUGAUCAUCACAAGUCUAGUUACCAUCUGUCACCAUACACAGUUAUUACAGUAUUAUUGACUGUAUACUCUAUGCUGUAUGUUGCAUCCAUGGGACUUAGUUACACCAGAGUUUGUACCUCUUAAUCUCUGUCACCUAUUUCAUUCAUCCAUCCAGUGCCCUCCGCUCUGGAAGCCACUGGUUUGUUCUCUAUAUCUAUGGGUCUAUUUCUGUUUUAUUUUUUUAAAAUUUAAGUAUAGUUAAUUCACAAUAUUAUAUUAGUUCCAGGUAUGCAGCAUUGUGAUUUAGUAUUUUCACAGAUUAUACUCCCUUAAAAGUUACUAUAAGAGGGAGUUUCUUUGUGGCACAGUGGGUUAAGUAUCCAACAUUGUCACUGUAGUGGCUCGGGUUGCUGUGGC
rnacentral:lncRNA from 1 species